UUUUUACAAGCAUAUAGUGCAGUGAAAAGAAUCGCAAUAAAUGAAUUAAUCCUUCAACACCGCGAGACGUGAGUGGACAUUCUACAUGCGAUAGGUAAGAUGCAUGUUUUUGUUUUGCAGGUACGCCCGUCGCAUUGUGAAGUUAUUUCAAUGAAAAUAAUCAUUUGAAUAGAAAUGAAACUAGUAAUUAGGUUGAUCGGCAUGUUAUCAUUUGACUAUAUUCGUGUCUAACCGGGGACCGGCGCUAAAUUCACUCGUAAGAAACAAAAGACAAACUUUGUUUCCCAGAAUGCUUCGCAAAGACUGUUCUCCCGAAAGCGUUAAUCGAAUAAUACUGCCGGUGUUCUGAUCAGUGUAAUCGCGUUUUCCGAGCAGUUAUGUUCGUGUCGAAUUCAUCGCUCCUACGGUGUGUAAAGUGCAGGUGUGCAAGUGAUAGUUACUUUUGAGAGUUCGAUUUCAACGUAACUUAUUUACAAGUAUAUAGUGCAGUGAAAAGGAUCGCAAUGAAUGAAUUUAUCCUUCAACAGAGCGAGACGUGAGCUGACAUUCUACGUGCGAUAGAUAAACGAGCGGAGUUACUCACUGACAACGUCGAUGGUGAUGGUGUGAUUUAUGGAUCCCUGACUGUUUGUCGCCAAACACGUGUAUCUCCCUUUGUCGUCCUCAACAACGCCGUUGAAGUGCAAGUUAUUCCUCCAGCGAGUCUGCUACUACUCUCAUUCAAUGCGUGCGGGGGGAGCCAAAUACGCCUUUCUGUCAACGACGCGUCAGGAAGGAGUCGGGACCCUCCACACCACCAUCGACUGGUGACGCUGUAUAUUCAAUGGGGAAACACCCGCGGUUUUUAUCUCUGAUUGAAAUUAUCACAUUGUGAAGGGGUGGCCGGAAUUUACACUUUAUCUACUUUUCAUACCCCGUCUGAAAUUCUUCCUCAUACGUAAUCGCGGUUGAAAAGGUCACCAUUUGGUCUACCACCAACGAUUGGAAAAUUUUCAAUCCACUUAUAAAAUUAUCCUUUCACACUCAUGCUAAAAUCUUAUUGUAACGGCUACGAAACGAACAUAGUAAACGAGUGUCACAGAUUCCCCAUUUUCAUGUUCCGAAGUGUCUAAACAUGGUAACGAUCACGAUGUAAUACGCAUAGUAGCUGCUACCAUGUUCAUACGGU